CCUACGGGAGUCAGCAGUGAGGAAUAUUGGUCAAUGGGCGGGAGCCUGAACCAGCUAAGCCGCGUGAGGGAAGAAGGUACUACGUAUCGUAAACUUCUUUUGUCAGGGAACAAAGUCCGGCACUAGUGCCCUUUUGUAUGUACCUUAUGAAUAAGCAUCGGCUAACUCCGUGCCAGCAGCCGCGGUAAUACGGAGGAUCCGAGCGUUAUCCGGAUUUAUUGGGUUUAAAGGGUGCGCAGGGGGGUCGUUAAGUCAGGGGUAAAAGCUCGGGGCUCAACCGCAACAGUGCCAUUGAACCUGGCAGGCUGGAGUACAGGUGAGGUAGGCGGAAUGCGUGGGGUAGCGGUGAAAUGCUUAGAUAUCACGAAGAACCCCGAUUGCGAAGGCAGCGUAC
rnacentral:rRNA from 1 species